GCUGUCGCCCGCUGAAACCUCCUCCGUCAUGUCGGUGGCUGGGAGAUGGCGACCGAAGGAGAGAGAAGGAACCGCAAAUCUUCCUUGCGAACGAGACGGGGCAGGCGAGGAAGAGGAUCACGUUCAGGAGGAUUUCAUCAGCGAAUUGCCCGACGCCAAAAUCCACGAAAUCUUAUUCUUUCUCAGCUUUCAGGACGUCGUCAGGUCCCGCACUCUCUCCAGGCGAUGGCGCUCCGUUUCCACCUCCACUCCCUACUUCAAUCUCUCCCUCCCCUAUUUCGACAGCCCUCAGAGUCGCAAGCAAUUCGUCUCCUCCGUUAGUGAAGCGCUGAAUCGCUCCACGGCACCGAAGGUAGAAAAAUUCCACCUUGAAGCUUUCUCCCUUGACGACUGGCGUCGGCAAAUUUAUCCGGGGCUUCGAUUUGCCAUCAGAAACGGCGUGCUCGAUGUUUCUUUGAAGACUAGUUGCUAUGCUUACGUAAAUUACCGCUUUUGGAUGGGUGCACUUCACUAGUGAGUUUGCAGGUGGCUCGGUGUAAGUUCUGGUCAGCCGGUUUGUCUUCGCUGAAGAUGCUGUGCAUGAGAGACAUGGACUUGGGCGAUAAUCUGAUCGCGAAAAUCUUGAGUGGGAGCCCUGUUCUAGAAUCUCUUGUGAUUGCUGGAGUAUGGCUGACAUCGACAUAAAAUCCAUUACCUUGAGAGAGUUGGUGAUUGAUGAUUGUUCUGUUUGUAUUUGCAGAUCAUCAAAGUUUAAACUUUGGGCUCCUCGUUUGCUUGUGCUGCGUCUAUUGGGUGGUUUCUCUUGCUCGAACUUCAUCACAUUCGAGGAAAUACCUUCCCUGGUUGGAGUUGAGCAUGAUCUUGUCCCGUGCCUUAUUUAUUGCCGUUCUUAUUCAAAGUACGUCGGCCUGUUCUGGAAUCUUCUCCAUAAGCUGCGUCAUGUUCCGAAAGUCACUAUGGGAGCUGGUACCUUCAGUCACUAUGGGGAGCUGGUACUGCGAAAUUUUUCUUUCUCAUCCUGCAUUUAAGUUUUCUCAUUCCCCUUCAUGAUAACAUGCCCUUUUUCCCUAAUGGCUGUUUUUGCGGUACCGGGAGUGUCUCAUUAUUUUCCUUUCGUGAGGAGGAAGAUUAAGUCUCUUAUGUUACGUAACCUAUAAUGCUGCGCAUACAAAUUAAAAAGGUUCUAUCAGUUAUGCGAGGGAAUGGACCGCCUCUUCAACUGCCUUCUUUAACAUCAAAGUGGCAGAAUCUUAAAUUACGUACAUCAUUUAGUAAUUUGGAGGUCCAGGGGAUUGCAUACUUGCUAGAAAGUUCGCCCUGCUUGGAUAAGUUUAUGGUGCGCAGGACAAAUAUCUUUAGCUUUGAGGUUGGCAACGAAUUUCUGGACUGUUUUAUCUUUGAUGAUGAGUUAUUUUGGCGUUCAUAAAGGAAGAGUUUUCCAUGUGUGGCAAAUCAUCUCAAGAGUGUUGAAAUAGUGGGUUCAGCUCUGAUUGUUUUAGUUUGAAAAGUGUGCUUCCCCUGCUUAUGUUUCUUCUUGAGGAGGCAGUUGCGCUAGAGAAGCAAUUAGCUCUUGGGUUCUGCUUGGAGUGACUGAACUUUUAGCAGGCCACCCGAAAGCUUCAACAAAGGCUGAGCUUAUAGUUAAUGAUCCUUUCAAGGGAUGCCCUGUCGAAAGAGUACACAAGUGGUGAGUCUCAUAGAUUUUAUUUGGAUAGGUGCGGCUUGCCGAAGUGACAAAUCUGGUUGUUCCUAGACAGCACAAGAGCUGUGGGAGUUAUGGCGGUAUACUGUGAUUUGCAAAAAUAUUUAUUUUACCUUUCUUUUUAAGUUGCCUAAUUGGAAUUCU